UCGGGGAUCGUCUAAUGGCAGGACCGGGGACUUUGAAUCCUCUAAUCGUGGUUCGAAUCCACGUCCCCGAG
rnacentral:tRNA from 1 species